UCUGGAUUCCAUUCCGUCUUCCUUGAGGGCCCCACCCUCAUCCCGGCACGUGAUGACGUAGGACGUAAGGACGCCCCCCCCCGCCGGUAGCCAUCUUCGUGCAUAGGCAAACUUAUUGUAGCUAGACUGUACAAAGUAUAUCAAGAUAUGCCAAAUAUUGAGCUUAACUUCACCUGUUUGAGAGACGGUGUUUCUUUUAGCUUGCAACACCAUGAAAAAAUUACUGAGACACUAGGAAUGCUGUGAACUGAGAAAGUUUGGGACCUUUGGCAUAACUAAAUCCUUCAUUUAACAGAUGGAGUCUCAGUCUGUCACUAAGGCUGGAGUGCAGUGG
rnacentral:lncRNA from 1 species